rnacentral:rRNA from 1 species
UUGUACUGGGGGAUAGCCUUUAGAAAUGAAGAUUAACACCCCAUAAUAUAUUUAGAUCGCAUGGUUUUUAUAUUAAAGGUUACGGUACAAGAUGAGUAUGCGUCCUAUUAGCUAGUUGGUAUGGUAACGGCAUACCAAGGCAACGAUAGGUAGGGGCCCUGAGAGGGGGCUCCCCCACACUGGUACUGAGACACGGACCAGACUCCUACGGGAGGCAGCAGUGAGGAAUAUUGGACAAUGGGGGGAACCCUGAUCCAGCCAUGCCGCGUGCAGGAAGACUGCCCUAUGGUUGUAAACUGCUUUUGUACGGGAAGAAACCGCUCUACGCGUAGAGCCUUGACGGUACCGUAAGAAUAAGCAUCGGCUAACUCCGUGCCAGCAGCCGCGGUAAUACGGAGGAUGCAAGCGUUAUCCGGAAUCAUUGGGUUUA